rnacentral:rRNA from 1 species
CCCGUCACAUCACGAAAGUGGACUGUACUAGAAGUCGGUGCGCUAACUCGCAAGAGAGGCAGCCGCCCAAGGUAUAGUUCAUGAUUGGGGUG